ensembl:lncRNA
GUUAUACCAGGCUGUCUGGAGGUAGCUUCAGGCUAACCAGACUGUUAUACCAGGCUGUCUGGAGGUAGCCUCAGGCUAACCAGACUGUGAUACCAGGCUGUCCGGAGAAAGCUUCAGGCUAACCACACCAUCAUACCAGGCUGUCCGGGGGUAACUUCAGUCUAACCACACUGUACAACCAGGCUGUCUGGAGGUAGCUUCAGGCUAACCAGACUGUGAUACCAGGCUGUCCGGGGGUAGCUUCAGUCUAACCACACUGUACAACCAGGCUGUCCGAAGGUAGCUUCAGGCUAACCGUGCUGUUAUACCAGGCUGUCCGGGGGUAGCUUCAGUCUAACCACACUGUUA